rnacentral:rRNA from 1 species
CCUACGGGCGGCAGUAGUGGGGAAUAUUGGACAAUGGGCGAAAGCCUGAUCCAGCCAUGCCGCGUGUGUGAAGAAGGCCUUCGGGUUGUAAAGCACUUUCAGUGGGGAAGAAAGCCUUGGGGCUAAUACCCUCGAGGAAGGACAUCACCCACAGAAGAAGCACCGGCUAACUCCGUGCCAGCAGCCGCGGUAAUACGGAGGGUGCGAGCGUUAAUCGGAAUUACUGGGCGUAAAGCGCGCGUAGGCGGUCUGAUAAGCCGGUUGUGAAAGCCCCGGGCUCAACCUGGGAACGGCAUCCGGAACUGUCAGGCUAGAGUGCAGGAGAGGAAGGUAGAAUUCCCGGUGUAGCGGUGAAAUGCGUAGAGAUCGGGAGGAAUACCAGUGGCGAAGGCGGCCUUCUGGACUGACACUGACGCUGAGGUGCGAAAGCGUGGGUAGCAAACAGGAUUAGAUACCCCUGUAGUC